CAUGAGUAAGAAUUCAGUCUCUUCACACCAAAAUGUCAAAUAACACCGUAAUGGCUACUAAGCAUCUGCAGAGAAAUCCGUCUAAAUAAAAGGGAGAAGGAGCAAAGAGUCAGUGACAACAAACCUCAUCAUAGCUCAG